UACAGAGGGUGCAAGCGUCGUUCGGAAUUAUUGGGCGUAAAGCGCGUGUAGGCGGCUUGUUAAGUCAGAUGUGAAAUCCCUCGGCUCAACCGAGGAAGGGCGUCUGAAACUGGCGAGCUUGAGUACCGGAGAGGAUGGCGGAAUUCUGCAAGUAGAGGUGAAAUUCGUAGAUAUGCAGAGGAACACCGGUGGCGAAGGCGGCCAUCUGGACGGUAACUGACGCUGAGACGCGAAAGCGUGGGGAGCAAACAGG
rnacentral:rRNA from 1 species